rnacentral:rRNA from 1 species
UACGUAGGGGGCUAGCGUUGUCCGGAAUCAUUGGGCGUAAAGCGCGCGUAGGCGGCCCGGUAAGUCCGCUGUGAAAGUCAAAGGCUCAACCUUUGAAUGUCAGCGGAUACUGCCAGGCUAGAGUCCGGAAGAGGCGAGUGGAACUCCUGGUGUAGCGGUGGAAUGCGCAGAUAUCAGGAAGAACACCCGUGGCGAAGGCGGCUCUCUGGGACGGUACUGACGCUGAGACGCGAAAGCGUGGGGAGCGAACAGG